GUGGAAGCAAUGUUGGUGGUGAAGACGAAUUAGAAGGUAAGGGAUCUGGACUUGGCUUGGGAGGUGGGAGAGUUUCCUCUGGUGGAGAAGGAGGUGAAGGAUGCACAGGACGUUUUGAGUCACUUGGAGAAGGAGGUGAUGGAGUAGGACGUUUAGAACCCGGUGGAGGAGGUUGCUCACGACGUUUUGGAUGCCCUGGAGGAGGAGGAGAAGGAUGUUCUGAAUCUGAUGGAGGAGUUGAAGGACGUUCUGAGGCUGGUGGGGAAGGUAAAUGACGUGGAGGAGGAGGAAUUUCUGAGGCUGGCGGGGAAGGUAAAUGACGUGGAGGUGAAUGUGAUGGUGGGACUAACUUAGGUGGUGGAAGUGGAUUGCUUGGAGGGUCUGGUGCAGGUAGUGAAGGAGGGCUUUCCGGUGGUGGUGGUGGAUUUGUUGGCGGGCUGGGUGAUGUAAUAGGAGUAGUAGGAGGAGCUUCAGUUGGUGGAGGUGGCGGGGGAGAAGAUUCUGGUGGAGGUGAUGAUACUGGAUUCGCUGGAGGAGGAGCUUCAGUUGGUAAAGGUGGUGGGGGAGAAGGUUCUGGUGGAGGAGAUACUGGAAUCGUCGUCGGAGGAGGUCCAGUUAGUGAAGGUGAUGGGGGAGAAGGUUCUGGUGGUGGUGAUGAUAGUGGAGUCUCAGGAGGAGGAGAAGACUGAGCUGGGGUGUUUGUGGUCUCUGGUGGAUUGCCAUUAGUGGGCUCUCUAGU
rnacentral:lncRNA from 1 species